GAUUGAACGCUGGCGGCAUGCUUUACACAUGCAAGUCGAACGGGCUGGGGGCAACUCCAGUCAGUGGCGAACGGGUGAGUAAUGCAUCGGAACGUGUCCCGUAGUGGGGGAUAACCCGGCGAAAGCCGGACUAAUACCGCAUAUGCUCUACGGAGGAAAGUGGGGGACCGCAAGGCCUCACGCUAUGGGAGCGGCCGAUGUCCGAUUAGCUUGUUGGUGGGGUAAUGGCCUACCAAGGCGACGAUCGGUAGCUGGUCUGAGAGGAUGAUCAGCCACACUGGGACUGAGACACGGCCCAGACUCCUACGGGAGGCAGCAGUGGGGAAUUUUGGACAAUGGGGGCAACCCUGAUCCAGCCAUGCCGCGUGCGGGAAGAAGGCCUUCGGGUUGUAAACCGCUUUUGGUCGGGAAGAAAAGGUCACACCUAAUACGGGUGAUUCUUGACGGUACCGGCAGAAUAAGCACCGGCUAACUACGUGCCAGCAGCCGCGGUAAUACGUAGGGUGCGAGCGUUAAUCGGAAUUACUGGGCGUAAAGCGUGCGCAGGCGGUUCGUUAAGUCAGAUGUGAAAGCCCCGAGCUCAACUUGGGAACUGCAUUUGAAACUGGCGGGCUGGAGUGUGGCAGAGGGGGGUGGAAUUCCACGUGUAGCAGUGAAAUG
rnacentral:rRNA from 1 species